AAAAAAUUACGAUUCAGAGACCUUGAGCACUCCUCCUCAAUCCCAGCACAUACACACCAACAGAUGCCACCGUGACCAGGUGAGCCAGGUGAGCAGGAGGGAGAGCCGUACAAGCUCGCCUUUGAUCCCCAAGUUAGUGGACCACCAGCUUUGCUCCGAGGGCUCAUGACAGGACGAAAGAAGAAGAAGGAAAAAAAAAAAAAAACCACCCUCCACCACUUUAUCACCGAACUUGAGUUAAACUUGACACGACUGACCCCGAAACUGUGUAUAGGUUCAUGCAUUACUAUCUCGCCUGCCUCUACCUGCUGGUGUGUGUAAGGUGAGCGACAUUUUACCUCAGCGGUUAAUCACUUCUGGACCCGCAGCUACUUACCUGAGUGCGAAACUAAAGGUCACAAGUUCACGAUGCCAUACUCUUCUCAGGUCGGGUUCCUGCUGGUGACGAUACUCACAUCACACGUCUGUGGUGAGGGGUCACAGAAAACCCUACCAGACGUCGAGGCCAGACCUAACGAGGCGCUGAAGUCUUCCAAACAUUUCAGCAGCAACUUGCUUUUAAUCCUGACUUCCCCGUGCUGCCAGCUCCCACAGAAGCCUCCCAGACAAAGCAGAUGAGAGUGGUUGCAUCUGUCCUCCAGGCCACACCCAGCACCACCGCAGAUCGCAACAACACAGGAGAUACACCGUCAAACGCUUAUUUCAGCAACAAAAAUGUUUCUGGCUCCGAAAGAUCUGGAACCACAAUCAAGCCAGGUGUGUUCCUGGCAAUCAUCCUGUGCAUUGUUUGUCUUGUAACUGUUGCGCACUUUAAGGUCGGUGACAGACUUCGAGAAGUGUCUUGGGUUGGAACUACUUCAACGCGCGCGCGGUCGGUUAUGCUUUUAAUAAAGAAAUACACAGAGAAAAUGCUCCCAGGAGUGCCGAGGAGUUCCGGACACCGAGAACAUGGGUCACAUCAUGAAUUUAGGCGACCCUCAGAGGUGAAAGUUACCCUCCCACUGGUGAGCAGGGGUGAUGAGCCGCACGUGGACGCUGACGUGUCAUAGCGCAAACAUCUUCCAGGAACUGUUGGGAAGUCUGCACACAGUGUACAAAGCUUUGCAUUUCCAGCAUGUCGGUCAGAGAUCUGCACAGUAAGACUUGCACAUGGGUGUCUGAUGUGGGAAGUGAGGCGCAGACCAACGAAGUACUCUGAGGCCUGAUGCAGAGACAGAGAAGAUCGAAGUCUGAGGCAAAAUCUGUGGUGCGAGCCUUGCUGACAUGAAGCUACUUUCGUUUUAUCAUCCCUUCUUCGGUCACCUCUUCAUUUUGCUAGAAAUUCUUGUAUUGCUCCACCAUUUCAACGGUAUUUCUUCCGGCUCUCUCUCUCUCAAACCCACAUUAACUUUACGUGUUCAGCAGGACAUCCAUGGACCCCUUCCUGUGGAAUCAGAGGUGUAGCGAUUGAAAUAUGUGCGUUUUCUAUUUCAGUUUUCUCGCAAACCUCAUUCCAUCAGUCAGAUACGCUUUCAAAGAAAGCAAAUUACCGUGAACUUAAAAAAAAAAC
rnacentral:lncRNA from 1 species